rnacentral:rRNA from 1 species
UAAAUAACAAUGCAGAGCCCUCUGGGUUUUGCAAUUGGAAUGAGAACAAUUUAAAUCCCUUAUCGAGUAACAAUUGGAGGGCAAGUCUGGUGCCAGCAGCCGCGGUAAUUCCAGCUCCAAUAGCGUAUAUUAAAGUUGUUGCAGUUAAAAAGCUCGUAGUUGAACUUUUGGUGAGGUGCUGUGGUUUAGCAUUUGCUGGACUGCCGUGCUGAGCCUCUUUUGGGGGAAACGUCACUUGUGGCGGCGAACCCGUGUUACUGUGAGGAAAUUAGAGUGUUUAAAGCAGGCGAUCGCUUGAAUACAUUAGCAUGGAAUAACAAGAUAGGACUUGGUUCUACUUGUUGGUUUGGGAGCCAAAGUAAUGAUUAAUAGGGCCAGUUGGGGGCAUUAGUAUUCAGCAGUCAGAGGUGAAAUUCUUGGAUUUGCUGAAGACUAACUAGUGCGAAAGCAUUUGCCAAGGAUGUUUUCAUUAAUCAAGAACGAAAGUUAGGGGAUCGAAGACGAUCAGAUACCGUCGUAGUCUUAACUAUAAACGAUGCCGACUCGGGAUCGGCAGGAUUCGUUCGCGAACCUGUCGGCACCGUGUGAGAAAUCAAAGUUUUUGGGUUCUGGGGGAGUAUGGUCGCAAGGCUGAAACUUAAAGGAAUUGACGGAAGGGCACCACCAGGAGUGGAGCCUGCGGCUUAAUUUGACUCAACACGGGAAAACUCACCAGGUCCGGACAUAGUAAGGAUUGACAGAUUGAGAGCUCUUUCUUGAUUCUGUGGGUGGUGGUGCAUGGCCGUUCUUAGUUGGUGGAGUGAUUUGUCUGGUUAAUUCCGAUAACGAACGAGACCUUAACCUGCUAACUAGAGCACAUUACGUGAGUAGUGUGUUACUUCUUAGAGGGACUGACUAUGUUUAAUAGUCGGAAGUUUGAGGCAAUAACAGGUCUGUGAUGCCCUUAGAUGUUCUGGGCUGCACGCGCGCUACACUGACAAAGGCAGCGAGUAUACCUUGGCCGAGAGGUCUGGGAAAUCUUGUUAAACUUUGUCGUGCUGGGGAUAGAUCAUUGCAAUUAUUGGUCUUGAACGAGGAAUUCCUAGUAAGCGCAAGUCAUCAGCUUGCGUUGAUUACGUCCCUGCCCUUUGUACACACCGCCCGUCGCUACUACCGAUUGAAUGGCUUAGUGAGGC